rnacentral:tRNA from 2 species
GCGAGGGUAUCUAAGCCAGGCCAAAAGAGCCGGACUUAAGAUCCGGUCACGAAGGUGUUCAUGGGUUCGAAUCCCAUCCCUCGCA